GUGGUGUUUGCGUACUUUCGGAGCUACCGUAACCCGCCAUUUACAAAAUUGAGUUAG
rnacentral:sRNA from 1 species